GAUGAAGAACGUAGCGAAAUGCGAUACUUGGUGUGAAUUGCAGAAUCCCGUGAACCAUCGAGUCUUUGAACGCAAGUUGCGCCCGAAGCCAUUAGGCCGAGGGCACGCCUGCCUGGGCGUCACACGUCGUUGCCCCCCCAUCUACUCCUUCGGGAUUGCGGGGGGCGGAUGAUGGCCUCCCGUGCGCCUCGUCGCGCGGUUGGCCUAAAUGCCAAGUCCGCGGCGACGCACGCCACGACAAUCGGUGGUUGCGAAACCUCGGUUGCCUGUCGUGUGCGGUCGUCGCGCAUCGAGGGCUCGAAAAAAUUGCCGGGCUUCGGCUCGACUUUCAACGCGACCCCAGGUCAGGCGGGGUUACCCGCUGAAUUUAAGCAUAUCAAUAAGCGGAGGA
rnacentral:misc_RNA from 1 species